rnacentral:rRNA from 1 species
CCCUUAGAUGUCCUGGGCUGCACGCGCGCUACACUGGAAGUUACGGAUUGAGAUACUACCUUGUCCGAAAUGGUCCGGGUAAUCAUCUAAAAGCUUGUCAUAAUUGGAAUGGAUUAUUGUAACUAGUAAUCCUGAACGAGGAAUUCCUAGUAAGUCCCAGUCAACAGCUGGUACUGAUUACGUCCCUGCCCUUUGUACACACCGCCCGUCGCUACUACUGAUUGGACGUUUAAGCAAGAUUUUUAAACACUGACAGUGUGUAGUUCACGCUAUACUACAGUGAGAAGAAGAAGAUCGAGCUUACUUGUCUGGAGGAAGUAAAAGUCGUAACA